CGGGUGAGUAAUGUAUAGGAACUUGCCUAGUAGUGGGGGAUAACGUGUGGAAACGCACGCUAAUACCGCAUACGCUCUACGGAGGAAAGCGGGGGAUCUUCGGACCUCGUGCUACUAGAUGGGCCUAUAUCAGAUUAGCUAGUUGGUAAGGUAGUGGCUUACCAAGGCGACGAUCUGUAGCUGGUUUGAGAGAAUGAUCAGCCACACUGGGACUGAGACACGGCCCAG
rnacentral:rRNA from 1 species